CAGCAGCCACGGGAAUACAGAGGGUGCGAGCGUUAAUCGGAUUUACUGGGCGUAAAGCGUGCGUAGGCGGCUUUUUAAGUCGGAUGUGAAAUCCCUGAGCUUAACUUAGGAAUUGCAUUCGAUACUGGGAAGCUAGAGUAUGGGAGAGGAUGGUAGAAUUCCAGGUGUAGCGGUGAAAUGCGUAGAGAUCUGGAGGAAUACCGAUGGCGAAGGCAGCCAUCUGGCCUAAUACUGACGCUGAGGUACGAAAGCAUGGGGAGCAAACAGGAUUAGAGACCCCGGUAGUCCCUGUCUCUUAUAC
rnacentral:rRNA from 1 species